rnacentral:lncRNA from 1 species
AUCGUUUUCACAGAUAAGCAUGUAUAUCACAUCCAUCGAUGCAAAAUGCUUAUUGAAAGUUCUGUGGACUUUAUUUGCUGAUCCAUUCAGUCCUGACAUCAAGGUCAAUGUUUUAAAACUGACACACUUGGAACCAAAAGAAAAGUCACAUGACCGCUUGUUUACUUUUCUACUUAACAAAUUCAACAAUCUCCUUAUUACGCUUAACACAGAUAUUCAAGUAAGUAAUCAAAAUUGGGAUUCUUAAGUAUAAGCUGCAAGUCAUGAUGUAAUUGUUGAACCAAGAACACUGUAAGUCUCGUGAUCUUUUCCAUUAUUAUUUCAGAUUACUUGAUUAUUUUCAUGAAUUUUAUUGGCAGUAUUAAGGUAGAAACUUUCUUUUUGGGGUCAAAUCAAGUUAUACUAGAAAAGUUCUAAGGUGUAAGUACUAUAGAAAAUUUAAGUUUCAGAAAUCUUAUUCUUCCUUUUCUGGAAGGACUUAGCUUUGCAUUUAAGUCUGGGGUAUCCGUGUCAGCUUUUAUUCCUUUAUCACAUGCCCUCAUUUUCCUCUUUAACAGUCUCUAAGCCCAUGCACUGUGCAUUCAUGCAUGUAUAUGUGUAUGAAAUUAGCUGUUUUUUGACCAUCAUUUCCUUUAACCUUUCAAUUUCGUAAGGGGAAAGGUUUCUUUGUAUCUUACUCACUUUUGUGUGCCCAGCAGCUGUUCCAGAGAAAAGGGUACAAGGAAAGGAUUUUUGUUUUCCUUCUUUUCACGUCUAUCUCCAGCCCACAGAACAGCA